rnacentral:rRNA from 1 species
CCUACGGGAGGCAGCAGUGGGGAAUAUUGCACAAUGGGGGAAACCCUGAUGCAGCGACGCCGCGUGAGUGAGGAAGUAUUUCGGUAUGUAAAGCUCUAUCAGCAGGGAAGAAAAUGACGGUACCUGACUAAGAAGCCCCGGCUAACUACGUGCCAGCAGCCGCGGUAAUACGUAGGGGGCAAGCGUUAUCCGGAUUUACUGGGUGUAAAGGGAGCGUAGACGGCGAAGCAAGUCAGAUGUGAAAGCCCAGGGCUCAACCCCGGGACUGCAUUUGAAACUGUGCUGCUAGAGUGCGGGAGAGGUAGGCGGAAUUCCUAGUGUAGCGGUGAAAUGCGUAGAUAUUAGGAGGAACACCAGUGGCGAAGGCGGCCUGCUGGACUAUAACUGACGUUGAGGCUCGAAAGCGUGGGGAGCAAACAGGAUUAGAUACCCGUGUAGUC